GGCCAACCUCUAGCCCAACCACAUACUCAUCUGCAAAUACCUAAAAACCCCCUCACCAACUGAACUAAAGCAUUCUCACAACUUAGUAUAGGCGAUAGAAAAGACCCAUCCAGGCGCGAUAGAAAUUGUACCGUAAGGGAAAGAUGAAAUAACAGUGAAAACUCAACCAAUAAGCAGCAAAGAUAAACCCUUGUACCUCUCGCAUCAUGAUCUAGCAAGAACAACCAAGCAAAACGAACUUAAGCUUGCCACCCCGAAACCCAAGCGAGCUACUUACAAGCAACUGCCCCGAGUGAACCCGUCUCUGUCGCAAAAGAGUGGGACGACUUGUCAGUAGUGGUGAAAAGCCAACCGAGCUGGGUGAUAGCUGGUUGCCUGUAAAACGAAUCUGAGUUCCCCCUUAAUUUUCCUCUACGGACACCCACUCAACCCCCUCGAAGCAAAUUAAGAGAAAUUUAAAGGAGGUACAGCUCCUUUAAAAAAGGAUACAACCUUCACCAGCGGAUAACCCCCUCCACCCAUCAUAACCGUGGGCCUUAAAGCAGCCACCACCAAAGAGUGCGUCAAAGCUCCACCAACCAGAAAAUCCAAAAACAACACGAAUCCCUCCUCCCCAACAGGCUAAUCUAUGACAAUAGAAGAAUUAAUGCUAAAAUAAGUAACAAGGGAUUUUUUCCCCUCCCUCUCAGGCGCAAGCUUACAUCCCCACAUUAUUAACAGGCCCAACAAUACCCCUAACCCCCUCACAAGCCCACAUAUUGACCUAAUCCUGUUAACCCAACCCAGGAGCGCCCACCAAGAAAGAUUAAAAUCUGUGAAAGGAACUAGGCAAACCCAAGGCCCGACUGUUUACCAAAAACAUAGCCCUCAGCAAACCAAGUAUUGAGGGUGAUGCCUGCCCAGUGACCCAUGUUUAACGGCCGCGGUAUCCUAACCGUGCAAAGGUAGCGCAAUCAAUUGUCCCAUAAAUCGAGACCUGUAUGAAUGGCUAAACGAGGUCUUAACUGUCUCUCACAGAUAAUCAGUGAAAUUGAUCUUCCCGUGCAAAAGCAGGAAUAAACACAUAAGACGAGAAGACCCUGUGGAACUUAAAAAUCAAUGGCCACCCCCUCCCCUCUCCACCCUAAUUAGGCACACACCUAUCAAACACCUGGCCCACAUUUUUCGGUUGGGGCGACCUUGGAGAAAAACAAACCCUCCAAAAAUAAGACCAACCCCCUUAACCAAGAGCAACCCCUCAACGUGCAAACAGCAACCAGACCCAAUACACUUGACCAAUGGACCAAGCUACCCCAGGGAUAACAGCGCAAUCUCCUUCAAGAGCCCCUAUCGACAAGGAGGUUUACGACCUCGAUGUUGGAUCAGGACAUCCUAAUGGUGCAGCAGCUAUUAAGGGUUCGUUUGUUCAACGAUUAACAGUCCUACGUGAUCUGAGUUCAGACCGGAGCAAUCCAGGUCGGUUUCUAUCUAUGAUUAACUUUCCCCAGUACGAAAGGACCGAGAAAGUGAGGCCAAUACCACAAGCACGCCUCCCCCCCAAACAAUGAACCCAACUAAACCUACCAAAGGGACCCCAACUAUUAACCCCUAAACAAGGGCC
rnacentral:rRNA from 1 species